rnacentral:rRNA from 1 species
CAGUAGCCGCGGUAAUACGAGGGGUGCAGGCGUUAUUCGGAUUGAUUGGGUGUAAAGGGUGUGCAGACGGCUUAUUAAGUCACUUGUUAAAUUCUUCGGCCUAACUGAGGGUCUGCAAGUGAUACUGAUGAGCUAGAGGGUGGAAGAGAGAAGUGGAAUUCUCGGAGUAGCGGUAAAAUGCGUAGAUCUCGAGAGGAACACCAAUGGCGAAGGCAGCUUCUUGGUCCAUUCCUGACGUUCAUACACGAAAGCGUGGGGAGCGAACAGGAUUAGAUACCCCCGUAGUCCCUGUCUCUUAUAC